GGCGCGGGGCGGGCACCGCGUGUGAGGAGAGCCGUGCCGGGCCUGCUAGCGGUACUCGGCCGCGGGAGGAGACGACCACCAGCCAACUGCAAGACUGUUGCAAUGAGUUUUGUUGAAUAUGGCGAUACAAUCAAGGAUGGUGACACAGCUAUUGUGUUCUUGGGCCACGAAUCCAUGUUUCCUGUGAAAGUCCAGCAAGGCAGUGUAACUCAGACUAAAUAUGGGGUCAUCCGGCAUUCUACAGAUCUCAUAGGCAAGAAGUAUGGCUCCAAAGUGACCUGCAGUAAAGGAGGAUGGGUUUUUAUUCUUCAUCCAACUCCAGAACUGUGGACUGUGAAUCUUCCACACAGGACACAGAUCCUGUAUUCCACUGACAUCUCUGUAAUCACCAUGAUGUUAGAACUGAAGCCAGGCUCCAUAGUAUGCGAAUCAGGUACAGGCAGCGGAUCCCUGUCCCACGCUCUCAUCAGGACAGUGGCUCCCACGGGGCACCUGUACACAGUGGAGUUCCACCAACAGAGAGCUGAGAAGGCCAAGGAGGAAUUUCGGGAGCAUGGAGUAGAGCAUCUGGUCACGGUGACCAACCAGGAUGUCUGCAAGAAUGGAUUUGGUGUCUCAGACAUUGCAGACGCUGUGUUCCUGGAUAUUCCAUCUCCAUGGGAAGCCAUCGGACAUGCAAAGGCAGCGUUAAAAGCUGAAGGUGGCCGCAUCUGCUCUUUCUCCCCCUGCAUUGAACAAGUCCAGAGAACUUGCCUAGCAAUGGAAGAGUACGGUUUUACAGAGAUUAACACCUUGGAAAUUCUGCUCCGAGUAUACAAUAUCUUCCUGAGACAUAGCUUGUUCUCAAUCUACGUGUCAAGAACCUCAGGCACUUUUCUUUGCAGCACACAGUAAACCUCCAUUGUGGAGCUCCUAGAUCCAGCUGAAGUCUGAGAGAUGCUACCAUGGCCCUGGAUGGAAGGAAAUACAUUUCAGAUGACAAUAGCGAAGCCGGCUGAGAUGUUUGCAUUUGCUCUCUCAUUCUCAUGUGAUCAGCAACUGCUUCACCCUCCCAGUUUCCACCAGGAGAGGUAUACUAACAGCCCAUUACCAGUACCAGGAAAGAACGUGUCUUUCUGCAUAACCUCCAUUUGGAAGGGAUCCACAAGGAUCAUCGAGUCCAACUCCUGGCUCCACACUGCACGACUCAGAAUCUCACCAAAAUCUUCACAAAGCAAAAUGGCUUCACAACCACAAAGAACUUCAACCAUUGGGGAGUGACUUUCCACUGCUCUCGAGAAGAAAGUGGCAGGAGAUGUGGUCCUUAGGUGCACACACAGCCACACAUGUUGGAAGGAACACAGCUGCACACAAGACUUCAUUUGAAACAAUGCAUUAACCAAUGUACCUGCUGAAAGACACUGACUUUGUGUUGGAAGAGUUUGACUAGAUACACUGAAAACUGAUAACCUCCUGACAAACUGAAAAGGACUAUUUCAGAUUUGCUUUGGAUUGACAGAGUAGAGAUUUUCAAUAGAGCUGGGCCUGUCUGGGUGAAUCUUCUUCUUAGUCAAACAAAACAGAAGCUGAAAGGCAAUUCAACCACAGCCUGUAACCAAAUUCCAGACUACACACCAGGGGAGAAGAGAAGCUUCUCAUGAAUAUGUUUAUACUCAAAAUUAGAAGGUUACUUAAUCCCCAUGGCAUGAUGGUUUGGAGCAACUCUUUACUAGAAGACUGAGGAAACACCAUUUUCAGAUGAGGCUUGAUUAGCUGCAAGGCCUGUCUAUGGUUGUAAGAGAGCAAAUGAUGGGCUGCAUGGGCCCCCUUCAAAACACUGCCUUACUUGUCAUGGUGGGAACCCUUGGAUGCUGAGUGUUCUGGAAAACUCAAUUUCCGCUAGGUUUCUGAAAGUGACCCGAGGCUGCUCAUUUAGAUCAAUGCAAGGCUGAGCUUUUCAAACCUCCUUUCCCACUGGUAUUAACAUGAGGCACCUGGAAGGAAAGAAAUAGACUAUGGGUGAUCAAUAACUGGCUACAGAUUGGUCUGAAUAAAACAAUUUUAUGAAGACUUGUCAUUAGAAAAAGAUCAAUAUAAAAAUAAGAGUAGUGAUAUCUUACUCAGACUUGCUACCAGUCAUUAUACUAUCCCUUCCAAUUAAGAGUUUAUUGCAGGAGACUCUCCAUCUCAUACACUGUCUUCUGCCACUUACACUGACUCCAAGUGCAUGCUAAGGGUUGCCAUUGCCAGAAAUUUCACAGGGAGUGACAGUGAUGAUGGCAUCUGUAGGGAUGGGUGGCACCAUCUUGCCCAAGGCUAAGGCCCAUCAGCGAGUGGUUGGACCGUACCCUGGAGGAGCAUGUAGGGUGACUGUGGAAAACAAGGAUGAGCUGCAGGGUGUAGGCUAGGUCUAAUUGCAAGAAGGUGAAAGGGAACAGGAUGGGAUUUUAUUCUGCUUUCUUUUCUUGUGUCAUAAAACUAAAAGAUGUUGGAGAUGUUGGGCAAACCACUGCCUGACAACUUCAUUAAAAUUUUGUUUUGUUUUCCUUCAGUAUUUUGUCUCUCUCUGCCCCCUUUUUACAACUUAACUUGGCUUAUAAACAUCUUGGUUGUCAUGCUCACAGACUUGUUUUUGAGUAUUCACAAGCUCAUACAGUUUGGGAACUAAAGAAAACAGGAUCAUGAAGGACGCUGAACUGCAUCAGUGUGUUUCUCUCUCGUAAGAUGCUUUUGGUUACCUUCCUGAAAUACAGGUUUCACAAGGAACUCCUCUGGCGCAGAAGUUUGUCUGGCAAAACUAAUUGAUGUGAAAUGGUCCAAUUAGGAAACACGCUGCACUUUUCCACUUUUAAUGGGGAACUCUGCUAUGAUUUAUGUCCUGUAGGAAGAGUUUACAG